rnacentral:rRNA from 1 species
UUAGGAAUAUUCGUCAAUGGGGGAAACCCUGAACGAGCAAUGCCGCGUGAGUGAUGAAGGCCCUAUGGGUUGUAAAACUCUGUUGUUUGGGAAGAAUUGCAAGAGUAGGAAAUGCCUCUUGCUUGACGGUACCAUUCAAGAAAGCCACGGCUAACUACGUGCCAGCAGCCGCGGUAAUACGUAGGUGGCGAGCGUUAUCCGGAUUUAUUGGGCGUAAAGGGUGCGCAGGCGGUUUAUUAAGUCUAAAAUAAAAGCCCGAAGCUUAACUUCGGUUCGUUUUAGAAACUGAUAGACUUGAGUAUGGUAGAGGCAAAUGGAAUUCCUAGUGUAGCGGUGGAAUGCGUAGAUAUUAGGAGGAACACCAGUGGCGAAGGCGAUUUGCUGGGCCAUUACUGACGCUCAUGCACGAAAGCGUGGGGAGCAAAUAGG